rnacentral:rRNA from 1 species
CGCGUAGGCGGUUUUUUAAGUCUGAUGUGAAAGCCCACGGCUCAGCCGUGGAGGGUCAUUGGAAACUGGAAAACUUGAGUGCAGAAGAGGAAAGUGGAAUUCCAUGUGUAGCGGUGAAAUGCGCAGAGAUAUGGAGGAACACCAGUGGCGAAGGCGACUUUCUGGUCUGUAACUGACGCUGAUGUGCGAAAGCGUGGGGAUCAAACA